rnacentral:rRNA from 1 species
AGUGAACGCUGGCGGUAGGCCUAACACAUGCAAGUCGAACGGCAGCACAGUAAGAGCUUGCUCUUACGGGUGGCGAGUGGCGGACGGGUGAGGAAUACAUCGGAAUCUACUUUUUCGUGGGGGUUAACGUAGGGAAACUUACGCUAAUACCGCAUACGACCUACGGGUGAAAGCAGGGGAUCUUCGGACCUUGCGCGAUUGAAUGAGCCGAUGUCGGAUUAGCUAGUUGGCGGGGUAAAGGCCCACCAAGGCGACGAUCCGUAGCUGGUCUGAGAGGAUGAUCAGCCACACUGGAACUGAGACACGGUCCAGACUCCUACGGGAGGCAGCAGUGGGGAAUAUUGGACAAUGGGCGCAAGCCUGAUCCAGCCAUACCGCGUGGGUGAAGAAGGCCUUCGGGUUGUAAAGCCCUUUUGUUGGGAAAGAAAAGCAGCAGGUUAAUACCCCGCUGUUCUGACGGUACCCAAAGAAUAAGCACCGGCUAACUUCGU